AACGAACGCUGGCGGCAGGCUUAACACAUGCAAGUCGAACGCCCCGCAAGGGGAGUGGCAGACGGGUGAGUAACGCGUGGGAAUCUACCCAGUUCUACGGAACAACUGAGGGAAACUUCAGCUAAUACCGUAUACGCCCUACGGGGGAAAGAUUUAUCGGAAUUGGAUGAGCCCGCGUUAGAUUAGCUAGUUGAUGGGGUAAUGGCCUACCAAGGCGACGAUCUAUAGCUGGUCUGAGAGGAUGAUCAGCCACACUGGGACUGAGACACGGCCCAGACUCCUACGGGAGGCAGCAGUGGGGAAUAUUGGACAAUGGGCGCAAGCCUGAUCCAGCCAUGCCGCGUGAGUGAUGAAGGCCUUAGGGUUGUAAAGCUCUUUCAGUGGGGACGAUAAUGACGGUACCCACAGAAGAAGCCCCGGCUAACUUCGUGCCAGCCGCCGCCGUAA
rnacentral:rRNA from 1 species